AAGUGUACCAGGUUGCCGCAGGCCUCCUGGGUAACCUACCACCCUUUGUUUAUUACACUUUGUUGCUUUGGCAAGCCUGCCCUCGGGCUGCUGGCUCCGGCCGGCGAGCGCUUGCCAGAGGACCUAAACUCUGUUUGUCUAUACUGUCUGAGCACUAUAUAAUAGUUAAAACUUUCAACAACGGAUCUCUUGGUUCUGGCAUCGAUGAAGAACGCAGCGAAAUGCGAUAAGUAAUGUGAAUUGCAGAAUUCAGUGAAUCAUCGAAUCUUUGAACGCACAUUGCGCCCCCUGGUAUUCCGGGGGGCAUGCCUGUCCGAGCGUCAUUACAACCCUCAAGCUCAGCUUGGUAUUGGGCCCCGCCGACCCGGCGGGCCCUAAAGUCAGUGGCGGUGCCGUCCGGCUCCGAGCGUAGUAAUUCUUCUCGCUCUGGAGGUCCGGUCGUGUGCUCGCCAGCAACCCCCAAUUUUUUUCAGGUUGACCUCGGAUCAGGUAGGGAUACCCGCUGAACUUAAGCAUAUCAA
rnacentral:rRNA from 1 species